UAUUGAGGAAAUAAACAUUAAGACACUAAAAUACCAAGGAAAUCAAGAUAAGUAGUCUAAAAGUGCGGGAAGUCGAGUUGGGCUGGUAUUGGAGUUUUACAACCAGGCACAUGUGCUUCGGCAAACACGCCUCCUCAGUAGCUCCAGUUUGCUUCGGGGCGAGUCGGUUUCAUAUAUUUUUGAUAUUGUAUAAAAGUUAAUAGUAUGGCGGGGGUUUGUACUGACCUUAGCUAAAUUUUGUGUAUCGUCUAAAGGCUUUGUAGACCAAUGUAAAGUUAAGCAUGGUAGUGUGUUAUCUUGUAGAUGUUAUGGCCCCAACGGCCAAGUCUAUUAUGUAUAUAGUUUUAGGGCUUGUCGUUUAUAUUUUUUUUUUCAUUAAGGCAUUAUAUCCGUAUAUGGAAAAACCUUUG